UACGUAGGGGGCAAGCGUUGUCCGGAAUCAUUGGGCGUAAAGAGCGUGUAGGCGGCUUUACAGGUCCGUUGUGAAAACUCGAGGCUCAACCUCGAGACGCCGGUGGAAACCGUAAAGCUAGAGUCCGGAAGAGGAGAGUGGAAUUCCUGGUGUAGCGGUGAAAUGCGCAGAUAUCAGGAAGAACACCCGUGGCGAAGGCGGCUCUCUGGUACGGUACUGACGCUGAGACGCGAAAGCGUGGGGAGCGAACAGG
rnacentral:rRNA from 1 species